rnacentral:rRNA from 1 species
GACGAACGCUGGCGGCGUGCUUAACACAUGCAAGUCGAACGGGACCCGCAAGGGUUCAGUGGCGAACGGGUGCGUAACACGUGAAGAAUUUGUCCAACGGCGGGGGAUAGCCGGCCCAACGGCCGGGUAAUACCGCGUACGACCUUUGAGGGGCAUCCCUCGAUGGUGAAAGCCGCAAGGCGCCGAUGGAGAACUUCGCGGCCUAUCAGCUAGUUGGUGAGGUCAUGGCUCA